UGGGAUUCAAAUCCAGGGCUUUGACUAGGCCGUCCCAUAACCCUCCAUUUCUUCUUUACGAGCCGUUCCUUGGUGGAUUUGCGAGUGCGCUUAGGAACAUUAUCCUGUUAAAAGGUCCGGUUUCGGACAGACGGACUCACAUUAUCUUCGAGCGCUCUUUGAUGUGAUGCAGAAUUCAUAGUCGAAUCAAUGAAUACAAGCUGUCCAGUCCCUGAGGCAGAGAAGCAUCCCCAAACCAUAACAUUUCCACCACCGUGCUUCACAGAUGGUAUGAGGUGCUUCUCCUGAAAAGCUGUUUUUACUCUGCGCCAAACAUGUCUGCUGUUACUGUGUCCAAACUACUCUAUCUUUGAUUCGUCUGUCCAGAGCGCAUUAUUCCAAAAGGCCUGCUGCACGACUUACUAACAGAUCCUGUGAUGAAAUUUUGGGGUUCUUGGAGACUUCUUUUUGCAUCAGACGGUCUGAUCUUGGGCUGAAUUUGCUGGGACGGUCGGUUCUGGACUAAUCGGCAGUCGUUUGAAAUCUGUGCCAUUUGUAGAUGAUUUUCCUCACAAUGGAGCGAUGUAUUUCAAACAAUUUGGAGAUCUUUUUAUAUCUCUCGCAGACUCCUAGGCAUCCACAUCUUUUUUCUGAAGGCCUUACACAACUCUUUAGAUCUCGGCAUGAUGACACCACACACCUCAAUAACAAAGGGAACUCCAGACACUAGAUAUGAGAGGGGUAUAAAUAAGACCGGUUCCACCUGCACUCCCUGAGCAGGUUCAAAUCACCGUCACACAAUCUUCAACACCCGAUUCUAAUUUUAUGGAUUUGACGGGGUGAUAAAUAUAAGGGUGCACUUACUUUUUCCAUGUGACUGAUCUGUUUUGUAUUCAUUUAAAUGGUGAAAAUCACUACAAAUAAUUGAUAGAGUGUCACCUUUAUUAACAGGCACUGUUUCAAAGAGGGUCAAAUGAUUGCUUGUCCAAAUUUAUUUAUAAAAAAACAACAACAACAGUUUCCAUGGGGUGUACUUAUUUUGUCACACGACUGCAGUAACGAAACACUCCCUGAUUUGAAUAAUAUAGCUAGAAAUUGUCAAUGGGGGAUGCAAACUUUUGAGCCUGUUAAAGAAAGUGUCAUUAAAUGCAGACAGAGUUUAGAAUUCAUUUCCUUCACGCAGAAACCAAGGGGGUACAAACUUUUGCACUCAAUACACGACGAUACAUUACAAUUCGAAAUGCACGAAGCAGCAUUUUUUUUUUUUUUUUUUUAAGAAUCGCUGCUUUAAAGCUGUGACAGAAAAGCCAUAAAGACUCAUUUGGAUGUAAUGGUGUUUUAAGUGGAUGUAAUUGAUAGUCUCCCUCCCUCUCUCUCAC
ensembl:lncRNA